rnacentral:sRNA from 1 species
AUCCAGCAAUAGGGAUAGUAGUGGAAAUCCUUUUUUUAGAGAUUUACCAAGGGAAAGAUGAGGCGAAUCUCUAUAAAAAGAUUGGAAUGGACAAUAAAUAGU